GCAGGCAGAGGUGCCGAGGGAUUCUGAGAGGACUUCUGGGCUGUCUGGUGGCACUUUCAGAGCCUCUGAGCCAAGCUGCCUUCCCCAUCACACUGAGAAUGGACAGAACUGAACUUCCUUUCUGUCGGCUCCCAGCCAGCAGCAGCAGCAGCAGCAGCAGCAGCAGCGCUCAGGGUGGGACCCUCCUUUUUCUUUAAUCCCUGUUGGGAACAGGGCAUCAUGGGGUGUGCCUACUCUUCUCCACCGGAGGAGCCCGUCCUGCGAAGGGCCCCACCCGUCAAAGAGAGCAGCUUCGUGGAAAAGAUGAAGAAAACGGGAAGGAACAUUAUCGUAUUCUAUGGCUCCCAGACGGGAACCGCUGAGGAGUUUGCCAACCGGCUG
rnacentral:lncRNA from 1 species